UGCGUAGGCGGCUUUUUAAGUCGGAUGUGAAAUCCCUGAGCUUAACUUAGGAAUUGCAUUCGAUACUGGGAGGCUAGAGUAUGGGAGAGGAUGGUAGAAUUCCAGGUGUAGCGGUGAAAUGCGUAGAGAUCUGGAGGAAUACCGAUGGCGGAGGCAGCCAUCUGGCCUAAUACUGACGCUGAGGUGCGAAAGCUAGGGGAGCAAACGGGAUUAGAUACCCGCGUA
rnacentral:rRNA from 1 species